AGAGUGAACGCUGGCGGUAGGCCUAACACAUGCAAGUCGAACGGCGGCACAGUAGGAGCUUGCUCUUACGGGUGGCGAGUGGCGGACGGGUGAGGAAUACAUCGGAAUCUACCUUUUGGUGGGGGAUAACGUAGGGAAACUUACGCUAAUACCGCAUACGCCCUUCGGGGGAAAGCCGGGACCAGCAAUGGCCUGGCGCUGAUAGAUGAGCCGAUGUCGGAUUAGCUAGUUGGUGAGGUAAUGGCUCACCAAGGCGACGAUCCGUAGCUGGUCUGAGAGGAUGAUCAGCCACACUGGAACUGAGACACGGUCCAGACUCCACGGGAGCAGCAGUGGGGAAUA
rnacentral:rRNA from 1 species